AAAAAAAAGAAAAGUAAGUUGCUCUGGAUAAGAGCGUCUGCUAAAUGACCUAAA
rfam:Salmo salar isolate Sally breed double haploid chromosome ssa01, whole genome shotgun sequence.